UACAGAGGGGGCAAGCGUUGUUCGGAAUUACUGGGCGUAAAGGGCGCGUAGGCGGCCUUCUAAGUCGAACGUGAAAUCCCCGGGCUCAACCCGGGAACUGCGUCCGAUACUGGAAGGCUUGAAUCCGGGAGAGGGAUGCGGAAUUCCAGGUGUAGCGGUGAAAUGCGCAGAUAUCAGGAGGAACACCAAUGGCGAAGGCAGCUCGCUGGAACGGUACUGACGCUGAGGCGCGAAAGCGUGGGGAGCAAACGGG
rnacentral:rRNA from 1 species